UAAAAUUCAUCUAAUUGGGUUUCCGAUCAAGAUGCUUUGGACGUCUGCCAUCUGCUCUGGCUCGUCUUAAAUGCCUAAGUGGAAUUGCGUAAUAAGUUGUCGCUCCCUCCCACUCUAAUAAACUCUUUAAG
rnacentral:misc_RNA from 1 species